rnacentral:lncRNA from 1 species
CUUCCAGAGCUGGCAAUGCUUCUGUGUGGCCUCACAUUUAGGGUGAAAACAAAUAACCCACUUCAAAAAUAAACUGCCCUAGGAAGUGUCUUUGAAAAUUUUUAAAGCUAAAUUAUAAAAACAUAACAUGCAAAUGUAAAUAAUUUCCCCUGCAAUGAAUGCAGGAAAUAAAGAAGUGGUGUAAACAAUAGGGAAUUGGACAGGUCUGUUUUAUUUCCCUUCCUCCUCCAUCUCCCCCACAGUGUGAUUUAAUAAAUAUUCAUGAAAAAGAAAGGAAUAGCACUUAUCUAUUAAUUUUUCUGCUUUUAUUUUCUGAUUAUGCCUAAUUUAAAAGUGUUUUGGGGUUACAUUUAGUCAUACAUAUAUGGUUGUUUGAGCCUUUUAUUAGCCAUGAUUCAUUGUGCAUAUCAGCACAGCGUGGAGCUGAUGCCUUCAGCGUGUGUCUGCUCCAGGAUGCUCAGUUAUCUGCCUGCCCCCAGCUAUCCAAAGGGUUGGAUUUGCAUGGACACUGCUCCCCCAUGGAGGAGAAUGCCAGGAAUGACCGGUCUGGUGCUACCUGGCCAGCAUUUCAGUGCCCAUCACCACAUUAUCCAGGCGCCACCAGAAGAUUAGGAAGCUUUGCAGUGACAUUCUCAACCAGAUAUUUACCUGGAUUUGCGACUGGUCCUGUGGCCACAGCUGAAGGGAAAUGCCCCUCUCUGGUGUCACCCAGGCAGGUAAGGCACUGAGCUCCAUCAGGGCUGUGCAGGGUGACCCUGGGGGAUGUGCUGGUGUCCAGCAGAGUUCUGCCCAGGGCUGCUUCAUCUUCUGCUCACAGCAUCCUAAACACUCCAAAACACCGCUCAUUUCUCUGAACACUUCCAUCAGCCUCUUAAAGGUGCUUUUAGAGCCCCCUUCGGUGCUU